AUCUGACCGUCAUGUCAUAGGAAAACACUGCCUGUCCUUAGAUCAGUGGGUGAAAAGCGGACAUGGCCGCAAGAUGCACUCUGAUGGAAGAGUGUGCCAGGCCCUGGUUCCUCAAAUGGAGCAGGUAGUCCAGGACAGCCUGUAUGGAGGAGCGCAAGGGAGAGAUGCCUCGUUCAGAUGCCCAGUGGGAAACCUCAUCCACUUGGCCAGGUAAGUCAGGAUUCCUUUCAAACAGGUCUGUUCCUCCGGGUUCAGCCACGCAGCAUCCAUGCCGAGAGGUGGAGGGGACCUGAGGUUGGGGUGUAAGAGCUGACCCUGGUUUCUUGGGCACAGGCCGAGGAGGGGCUGCUGACAGGCUCAUGAGCAUGCCAAACCAGUGCUGAUGAGGCUACGCUGGGGCGAUCAUGAUAACCUGCACCUGGUCUCUCUUGAUUUUUGCCAGGGCUCUGCUGAGUGGAAUUGGAGGGAAUGCGUACAUCAGGCUCCCUGACCAUGACAGGAGGAAGGCAUCGGAGAGGGAGUCCUUGCUCAGACCCUGUCGAGAAUGUUGGUGGCAUUUCCUAUUCUGUCUGGAAGCGAACAGGUCCACUUGAGGAGUUCCCCACCUUUGGAGGAUCAUGCCGGCUACCUCUGGAUGGAGCGAUCACCCAUGGUGAGAAGAGAAGUCCCUGCUAAGUUGGUCUGCCAGCGUAUUCCUGACACCGGGAAGGCGACAAGCUUCCAGGCGGAUUUUGUGGCUGACGCAGAAGUCCCACAGACAGAGCGCCUCCUGACAGAGAGCCAACAAGUGUGCACCCCUUUGCCUGUUGAUGUAGAACAUCAAGGCUGUGUUGUCUGUCAGAACUCGCACCACUUUGCCCGACAGGUGGGGCGAGAAGACUUUGCAUGUCAGCCGGACUGCUCGGAGCUCUUUGAUGUUUAUAUAACUGCACCUCCUCUGUGUACCACAUCCCCUGUCUGGAGGUUGCCGAGAUCUGCCCCCCAGCCGAUGUCUGAGGGUGUCUGAAACCAAUUCAAUGGAGUAAGGGGGGUUGUCGAAUAGAACCCCUUCCAGGACAGUCCUGCGGUCGGUCCACCAUCUCAGCAAGUAGGCCCAGAGAGCGGCACUUGGCCUGAAGCACCGCGACAUCCCUUCAGACUUGAGCCGCCCUUGACGAGUCAGUCAUCGAGCUAUGGUUAGAUUUGUAUACCCUGGCGCCUGAGGGCCCUGCCAUCGAAGGGCAGGUCCUGCAACAAUUGUUGAGCCUUGGUGGACAACCCAGAGAGGAGCAGCCAAGAGACUUGCCGCAUGGAGAUAGCGGAAGCCAUGGUGCGGGCAUCAGCAUCAGCAGCAUUUGACAUCGCCUGGAGGGCCGCCCUGGCCGCAGUCAUGCCCUCAUCGAGGAUCACUCAGAACUCCUUCUUGGAAGCCUCGAGGAGCGUCCCUUUGAAAUUGGCCAUGGCUUGCCACAUAUUGAAGUCAUAUUGGCCAAGGAGGGCUUGG